UAGACUGAAGUCCGGCGGUCGUGCGAUUCGAAGCGUUAUCCCUCGAUGUCGAUUGUGUCCUGCCAUUUUCGAGCGUUUGUCGUGCAUUUCAUCGAAUGUCAAAGGUGACAUCUGCAGUUCGUGUUGGUACUAGUAGGCUACGCAAUUGGAUGACAGUUCAUUUUUUUUUUCAAAGUCCACCACGAAAAGAUUCCGAUGCGUCAAUCCGGAAGGCGUGCUGUUGAGCGAUGGGUUCGAUGCUCAAAUACAAAGCCAGCGGUUUCAAAUUCAGGGACUUUCUGAACCAGGAAAACGGUAAAAUGCAAGAGGAAUCUAAAUUUCCAAGCAACUCAUCAAACUUCCAUCAUCCAACAUCCAAAAAGUUUUUGGCACCUCGGAUUACCAACUUUUUCAAGAACUUUUUCUUCCAGUAUGGCCAAGAUUGUGGAUUAUUUGUUGUAAAAAC